rnacentral:misc_RNA from 1 species
GUCUCAUCACAAACAGAAACUAAUAAAGAGUGAAUUACAUUUAGUUGUUGAGACACCCAGAACUAAAAGUUAGGACCAAAUUUUCCAGAAAUUACUAACCACCCCAUAUUUUAGUUAAAUAAUAACAAUUUUAGGCAAAAAUAGGUAACUUUUGUUAGCAACUCAAAAGAUGAAUUGGCAUAUCAUCUGAUUAGUAUUUUCAAAAUAUAUUGUCCUGACUAAUAAUUUUGGUAAACCUCAGUGCCUAAGGGGUAAUAUACCACAAUAUAAUUUUUUAAAAAUAUUUAUAGUAACUCUUCAAUUCUUUUCCUUUACAUGUAUUAACUCAAUCCCCUUUAUUAUUACUGU